rnacentral:rRNA from 1 species
ANUCGCNGCCUAAWCAUGCAAGUCGAACGGUGGUAGCAAUACCAUAGUGGCGCACGGGUGCGUAACACGUAACUAACCUGCCUAAGACUGGGGGAUAGCCCGCCGAAAGGCGGAUUAAUACCGCAUAAUAUCUUUUACUGGCAUCAGUGGUAGAUUAAACCUGAGGGGGUCUUGGAUGGGGUUGCGGGUCAUUAGCUAGUUGGUAAGGUAACGGCUUACCAAGGCGACGAUGACUAGGGGAGCUGAGAGGCUGGUCCCCCACACGGGCACUGAGAUACGGGCCCGACUCCUACGGGAGGCAGCAGUAGGGAAUAUUGGGCAAUGGGCGAGAGCCUGACCCAGCCAUGCCGCGUGCAGGAAGAAGGCUUUCUGAGUCGUAAACUGCUUUUGAUAGGGAAGAAUAAGCACGACGUGUCGUGUGAUGACGGUACCUACAGAAUAAGCACCGGCUAACUCCGUGCCAGCAGCCGCGGUAAUACGGAGGGUGCGAGCGUUGUCCGGAUUUAUUGGGUUUAAAGGGUGCGUAGGCGGCCCGUUAAGUCCGGGGUGAAAGCCCGUUGCUCAACAACGGAACUGCCCUGGAUACUGGCGGGCUUGAGUACAGUGGAGGUUGGCGGAAUGGACCGAGUAGCGGUGAAAUGCAUAGAUACGGUCCAGAACCCCGAUUGCGAAGGCAGCUGACUACCACUGGAACUGACGCUGAGGCACGACAGCGUGGGGAGCGAACAGGAUUAGAUACCCUGGUAGUCCACGCCGUAAACGAUGGAUACUCGCUGCGGGCUAAAGAUUGUCCGUGGCUUANGGAAACCGAUAAGUAUCCCACCUGGGGAGUACGCCGGCNACGGUGAAACUCAAAGGAAUUGACGGG